rnacentral:misc_RNA from 1 species
AACGGUCUAUACCUGCGGUACCUGCGGAGGGAUCAUUAUAGAGUGGUAAACCCUCUGUAAAAGGGGGGGACCUCCUGUCCUUUGUAGGCUCUUUUUUAAAGGGCUUUUUUUAAUUUUCUGCUUCGGUGGGGUUAUCCCACCGGAACAACCUCAAAACUCUGAUCAAAAAAUCGUUCUGUCUGAGAACUUUUUAUAAUAAAAAAAACUUUCAGCAACGGAUCUCUAGAUCGGAAGAGCACA